AGAUUGAACGCUGGCGGCGUGCCUAACACAUGCAAGUCGAGCGGUAACAGGUGUAGCAAUACAUGCUGACGAGCGGCGAACGGGUGAGUAAUGCUUUGGAAUCUUCCCAGUAGUGGGGAAUAACCAGUCGAAAGAUUGGCUAAUACCGCAUACGUCUGUAAAGGGAAAGCGGGGGCUCGUAAUACCUCGCGCUAUUGGAUGAGCCAAAGUCGGAUUAGCUAGUUGGUGGGGUAAUGGCCUACCAAGGCGACAAUCCGUAGCUGGUCUGAGAGGACGACCAGCCACACCGGAACUGAGACACGGUCCGGACUCCUACGGGAGGCAGCAGUGGGGAAUAUUGGACAAUGGGGGAAACCCUGAUCCAGCGACGCCGCGUGUGUGAAGAAGGCCUGCGGGUUGUAAAGCACUUUUAGUGGGGACAAAAAGCUACGGAUUAAUACUCUGUGGUCUUGAUUUAACCCAAGAAAAGCACCGGCUAACUCUGUGCCAGCAGCCGC
rnacentral:rRNA from 1 species